CACGUAGGGUGCGAGCGUUGUCCGGAAUUAUUGGGCGUAAAGAGCUCGUAGGCGGUGUGUCGCGUCGGCCGUGAAAACCUGCAGCUUAACUGUGGGCUUGCGGUCGAUACGGGCAUCACUGGAGUUCGGCAGGGGAGACUGGAAUUCCUGGUGUAGCGGUGAAAUGCGCAGAUAUCAGGAGGAACACCAAUGGCGAAGGCAGCACUCUGGGCCGGUACUGACGCUGAGGAGCGAAAGCGUGGGGAGCAAACAGG
rnacentral:rRNA from 1 species